UGUGGCAGAGGGUGGUAAUGCAUAGGAAUCUACCUAGUAGUAUGGGAUAGCCACUAGAAAUGGUGGGUAAUACUGUAUAAUCCCUGCGGGGGAAAGAUUUAUCGCUAUUAGAUGAGCCUAUGUUAGAUUAGCUAGUUGGUAGGGUAAAGGCCUACCAAGGCGAUGAUCUAUAGCUGGUCUGAGAGGAUGAUCAGCCACACUGGAACUGAGAUACGGUCCAGACUCCUACGGGAGGCAGCAGUGGGGAAUAUUGGACAAUGGGCGCAAGCCUGAUCCAGCUAUGCCGCGUGAGUGAGGAAGGCCUUAGGGUUGUAAAACUCUUUCAGUAGGGAAGAUAAUGACGGUACCUACAGAAGAAGUCCCGGCAAACUCCGUGCCAGCAGCCGCGGUAAUACGGAGGGGGCAAGCGUUGUUCGGAAUUAUUGGGCGUAAAGGGCAUGUAGGCGGUUCGGUAAGUUAAAGGUGAAAUGCCAGGGCUUAACCCUGGAGCUGCUUUUAAAA
rnacentral:rRNA from 1 species